rnacentral:rRNA from 1 species
AUUGAACGCUGGCGGCAGGCCUAACACAUGCAAGUCGAACGAGUGGCGGACGGGUGAGUAAUGUCUGGGAAACUGCCUGAUGGAGGGGGAUAACUACUGGAAACGGUAGCUAAUACCGCAUACCAUCAGAUGUGCCCAAAUGGGAUUAGCUUGUUGGGGGGGUAACGGCUCACCAAGGCGACGAUCCCUAGCUGGGCUGAGAGGAGGACCAACAACACUGGAACUGAGAAACGGUCCGGACUCCUACGGAAGGCAGCAGUGGGGAAUAUUGCACAAUGGGCGCAAGCCUGAUGCAGCCAAGCCGCGUGUAUGAAGAAGGCCUUCGGAUUGUAAAGUACUUUCAGCGGAGAGGCGUUACCCGAAAAAGAAGCACCGGCUAACUCCGGGCCAGCAGCCGCGGUAAUAA